GACGAACGCUGGCGGCGUGCUUAACACAUGCAAGUCGAACGAAGAGCGAUGGAAUCUUGCUUCUAUCACUCUUAGUGGCGAACGGGUGAGUAACGCGUAAUCAACCUGCCCUUCAGAGGGGGACAACAGUUGGAAACGACUGCUAAUACCGCAUACGAUCUAACCUCGGCAUCGAGGAUAGAUGAAAGGUGGCCUCUACAUGUAAGCUAUCACUGAAGGAGGGGAUUGCGUCUGAUUAGCUAGUUGGAGGGGUACGGCCCAACAAGGCGAUGAUCAGUAGCCGGUCUGAGAGGAUGAACGGCCACAUUGGGACUGAGACACGGCCCAGACUCCCACGGGAGGCAGCAGUGGGGAAUCUUCCGCAAUGGACGAAAGUCUGACGGAGCAACGCCGCGUGAGUGAUGACGGCCUUCGGGUUGUAAAGCUCUGUUAAUCGGGACGAAAGGCCUUCUUGCGAAUAGUGAGAAGGAUUGACGGUACCGGAAUAGAAAGCCACGGCUAACUACGUG
rnacentral:rRNA from 1 species